UACGUAGGGUGCAAGCGUUGUCCGGAAUUAUUGGGCGUAAAGAGCUCGUAGGCGGUUUGUUGCGUCGGCUGUGAAAUCCCGAGGCUCAACCUCGGGUCUGCAGUCGAUACGAGCAAACUAGAGUGUUGCAGGGGAGACUGGAAUUCCUGGUGUAGCGGUGAAAUGCGCAGAUAUCAGGAGGAACACCGGUGGCGAAGGCGGUGGUCUGGGCCGGAACUGACGCUGAGGAGCGAAAGCGUGGGGAGCGAACAGG
rnacentral:rRNA from 1 species